rnacentral:rRNA from 1 species
UACGUAGGGUCCGAGCGUUGUCCGGAAUUACUGGGCGUAAAGAGCUCGUAGGUGGUUUGUCGCGUUGUUCGUGAAAACUCACAGCUUAACUGUGGGCGUGCGGUCGAUACGGGCAUCACUGGAGUUCGGCAGGGGAGACUGGAAUUCCUGGUGUAGCGGUGAAAUGCGCAGAUAUCAGGAGGAACACCGGUGGCGAAGGCGGCAUCCUGGACCGACAUUGACGCUGAGGAGCGAAAGCUAGGGGAGCAAACGGG